rnacentral:rRNA from 1 species
AGUGAACGCUGGCGGUAUGCCUAACACAUGCAAGUCGAACGGCAGCACACUAAGAGCGUGCGCUUACGGGGGGCGAGUGGCGGACGUGAGAGGAAUGCAUCGGAAUCUACUUUUUCGUGGGAGAUAACGUAGGGAAACUUACGCUAAUACCGCAUACGACCUACGGGUGAAGGCAGGGGAUCGUCUGACCUUGCGCGAUUGAAUGAGCCGAUUACGUAUUAGCUAGUUGGCGGGGUAAAGGCCCACCAAGGCGACGAUCCGUAGCUGGUCUGAGAGGAUGGUAAGCCACCCUGGAACUGAGACACCGUCCAGGCUCCUACGGGAGGGCGCAGUGUGGAAUAUUGGGCAAUGGGCGGAAGCCUGGUCCAGUGGUCCCGCGUGGGUUGAGAAGGCCUUCGGGUUGUAAAGCCCUUUUGUUGGGAAAGAAAAGCAGCAGGUUAAUACCCCGCUGUUCUGACGGUACCCAAAGAAUAAGCACCGGCUAACUUCGUG